UUCUGUGCUUAACAAAAUCAGACGUCCCCAGUUUUCAUUAGAGAAGCGGCGUGGCUAACAGGCGUUUUUAAAAACGUAAAUUUACUCCAGACACUACAACGUACACAGCUGUGUGAUUCUGCGGAGAGGAGAACUUUGGUCAUGGAUUCUGGAAAUUUCCCCUGUACCUCCUGCUUGCCAUCGUUAUGACGGUUAUGACACUCUGCCUGUCCCCUGACUACCGAGUACCAGCCAGAGCCCAGCUCAGGGCUUCCCUGAUCAGAUCAGGCACUCACUGUUCCCACCAGUCCCUGGACCGUGAGAAGUUUCCAGAGGUUCCUGCCAUAGACGCUGACGAUUCCCCCUUGUCCUGCUGCAGUUUACCAGUUAAUCUUUAGUUAGUCUUUAAUCGUUCACUGUUUGACUAGCUCCAUAGAACUGAAUGUUGGUUCCUUGUAAUCUUUUUGAAAUCACAGAAUGGCUACACUUUUUCCACAAAAACUUUUACAUGUUAAAUUUUUAUUUUACCAAGAAAUUUAAUGUUUAGGGUUCACCCAACGGUUCAUUGCCAAGAAGCAUUGUUGUGACAAAAAAGUUCCAAUACUUAAACUAUGAAUUUAAUUCUAUAAAGGUCAAUCAUAUACAAAAAAAAUCACAUUGAAUAUGUUUUUUUUAACUUCUUAAUUGUCAUUUCAGUUAUUUUAAAAUGUAUAUAUUGCCUUUUAUACAUUUUUGUAUAAUUUUAAUAAUUUAUAUUUUGAACUGAAUUGGUAAAAAUAAAAAUGUCAAAUAAGUUAUUACGAUGCAGGUAAGCACCAACCAGCAGUCUGAUUCUGCUGUUUUGUAGACAUUUGCCAGAACUGUGCUUUAUGUCCUUAUGUAAGACUGUGUGUUUUGGCUGUAAGGAAACCUGCAUGCUGUGCAGCAGGUGACCUUUGGCCAGGUGCACUUACUUGGCA